rnacentral:lncRNA from 1 species
CAGACUCGAGCUUCAAAAGGAGGAUGAUGAAAACAAGCUGCAUCAAUUUCUCAUGGGGCUUAACGAUACAUAUGUUGGAGUUAGGUGCAACAUCCUCAUGCUACAGCCUCCCCCAUAUCUAAACAGUGCGUACAACAUUCUGCUUCAGGAUGAGAGACAAAGACAAGUUACAUCAUCUCCCUCUCAAUUCCUUAGUGACACCACUACUUUCAACACUUAUUUCACCAACAAAUUCCCUGGCACACCUGCCCAUUCUAAACAAUUCAAUCAAAGAGUCAGCUUUGAUCUCAACAAGACAAACUUAGUGUGUAGAUAUUGCAAGAAACCUGGUCAUAUGAUUGACAAGUGGAGUCAGCUUUGAUCUCAACAAGACAAACUUAGUGUGUAGAUAUUGCAAGAAACUUGGUCAUAUGAUUGACAAGUGCUACAAACUCCAUGGAUUCCCACCAGACUUCAAAUUUACAAGAAGCAAGAGGACUGCAGCAAAUGUUGAGGUGCAGGGAUGUCUGAACUCUGUUGGGUCUCCAAACAAUGUUGAUAGUACUCAGGGGUCUUCUGAAUCAGAAUCUUUGAUUCAUGGUUUAACCAAGGAUCAAUAUUCACAACUCAUGUUGCUGCUUCAACAGACACAAAUUUCAGAGUUUCAACAACAAUCCAGUCUUAUGGCAUCUGCCAACUUUGCUGGUACUUUUUCUCCCCAAAGUUGUUUAAAGAAUGUAUCCUAUGGGGCUUGCAUGUUAACUAAAAUUAGAAAAUGCAUUUGGAUUAUAGAUUCUGGUGCCACUGAUCACAUGACCUCUAAUAAAGAUCUUCUGUUUGAUAUUCAGCCAUUAGUUAUACCAUACUUAGUUACCUUGCCUAAUGGUUAUAAGGUCAAGGUAACAUGUACUGGAUCCAUACAAUUCCUUUGUUUCACUCUACA